rnacentral:rRNA from 1 species
UAACGCGUUAAAUCGACCGCCUGGGGAGUACGGCCGCAAGGUUAAAACUCAAAUGAAUUGACGGGGGCCCGCACAAGCGGUGGAGCAUGUGGUUUAAUUCGAUGCAACGCGAAGAACCUUACCUGGUCUUGACAUCCACAGAACUUAGCAGAGAUGCUUUGGUGCCUUCGGGAACUGUGAGACAGGUGCUGCAUGGCUGUCGUCAGCUCGUGUUGUGAAAUGUUGGGUUAAGUCCCGCAACGAGCGCAACCCUUAUCCUUUGUUGCCAGCGGUCCGGCCGGGAACUCAAAGGAGACUGCCAGUG